rnacentral:rRNA from 1 species
GUGGGGAAUCUUCCGCAAUGGACGAAAGUCUGACGGAGCGACGCCGCGUGAGUGAAGAAGGCCUUCGGGUCGUAAAGCUCUGUCAUCAGGGACGAACGGCCGGUGGAGUGGAAAGCCACCGGAUUGACGGUACCUGAGAAGGAAGCCACGGCUAACUACGUGCCAGCAGCCGCGGUAAUACGUAGGUGGCAAGCGUUGUCCGGAAUUAUUGGGCGUAAAGCGCGCGCAGGUGGGAUCUUAAGUCCAUUUUGAAAGUUCGGAGCUCAACUCCGUGAUGGGAUGGAAACUGGGAUUCUUGAGUACCGGAGAGGAAAGCGGAAUUCCCCGUGUAGCGGUGAAAUGCGUAGAUAUGGGGAGGAACACCAGUGGCGAAGGCGGCUUUCUGGACGGUGUCUGACACUGAGGCGCGAAAGCUAGGGCAGCGAACGGGAUUAGAUACCCGUGUAGUCC